UACCCCACAUCCAAAGACAAAGGAGAAGCCACAGUGAGACGGUUUUUCUGCUGAGCUACCACAAUGUAGUAUGUUUCUAGACCUAACUCCACAUGAAGGACAGGCCUGGAUUAAACAAGAAUGGCUACUUAUUUUACAGCUGGAAAACUGAGCAUGUCUGGUGAGGAAGGCAAAAAGAAGAAUCAACAGCAGAGGCAAACUGGAACAAGGAGAGGAACGGACUUAAGAAUCAGAGACUCUUAAGAGUAUGGUAUAAAUUGUUACCUUUAGAGAAGUCAUUUAAUUUUAUUCACAUUCAGUCUAGAACAUUUAUUUUUCUCAAUUCAAAAUUGAGAUUAUAAUCAAAAGAAAACUGGACUGAGGUCACUUAAAAUAAAAAAUUCUAUUUCCUACUGGGCUAAGUACAAACUUGUUAGCUUGGCCUUUAAGGUAUUUGACAAAUAUGGCCCUGGUCUCCUUUUCAACUUUAAUCCACUAUUUCCCUAUGUAUACUGUUUAAGAUAACAGUAAACUAUUAGCAAACUAUUGCACAGAACUCUCUUAACCAAUUUAACUGAUCACACAUUAGCUAGGCUAUUCUCCAGUAUCAUGGGAGCAACAUUUCUGCUCUCCCUCUCAGUGAAAUUAUGUGCUUAUUGAGGGUAUCAGUUGUGUUUAUUCACAAAACAAUUUAUGCCAAUUGUGUUUAUUAUUCUAAAUAUAUAAUUUAAUAAAGUAUUACAUAAAGCAAUGAAGUAUAAGUGAGAAGAGGAAAACAACAGCAGCAGCUAAUAUUAACUGAGUACUUACUGCCUGCCAGGCACUGUUCUAAGUGUUUUAUGUGAAUUGACUCAUAUAAUCUUCAUAAGAACCUUGGGAACUAGAUACUAUUAUUGUCCCUAUUUCACAAAAGAGGAGACUGAACAACAUGCCCAAGGCCUAUACAACUCAAAAAUGGCAAAACAAUUUGGCUCCAGAGCUUUAACUACUAUGCUAUACAAGUUGAAAGCUUAGGAAAGACUAGAUAAAGAUACACAUAACUAUGCUCCACUCUACCUUGUAUGUGAAAGUAGCCACAGAUAAUACAUAAACAAGUGAGCAAGGCUGUGUUCCAAUAAAACUUUAUUUACAGAAACAGGCAGCAGGCUAGGACAAGAUUUAGCCCUCACACUGUAGUUUGGAGAUCCCUGAGACCCACACUCCAAGAAAAGGCUUAUGUCAAAAGAAUGGCAAAAAGAUGUUUUAAGUUUUAAGUUAAAAUAAAAUGUUUAAGAUCUACAGGUAACUAAUAUCUGUAUGAUU